GGCUGAAAUUCGCCUUCAUGAAGCCGGAAUUGCUAGUAAUGGCAGGUCAGCAUACUGCCGUGAAUACGUUCCCGGGCCCUUGUACACACCGCCCGUCACACCAUGAGAGUUGGGAAUACCCGAAGCCUGUGAGCUAACUUUACGAGGCAGCAGUCGAAGGUAGAAUCAAUGAUUGGGGUGAAGUCGUAACAAGGUAUC
rnacentral:rRNA from 1 species